UACGGGGGAGCAAGCGUUGUUCGGAUUACUGGCGUAAAGGGCGCGUAGGCGGUCGUGACAAGUCACUUGUGAAUCUCCGGGCUUAACUCGGAACGGUCAAGUGAUACUGUCGGACUAGAGUACAGAAGGGGCAACUGGAAUUCUCGGUGUAGCGGUGAAAUGCGUAGAUAUCGAGAGGAACACCUGCGGCGAAGGCGGUGCUGGGCUGAUGACUGACGCUGAGGCGCGAAAGCCAGGGAGGCGAACGGG
rnacentral:rRNA from 1 species